rnacentral:rRNA from 1 species
CCAAGGAGUCUACCCAUUAUGCGAGUGUUAGGGUGUAAAAACCCAAACGCAGACCGAAAGGGAUGCAAGAUGUGACGCGCAAGGUGCCACAUCAACCAAUCUUGAUUCUCCGAUGAAGGACUUGAGUAAGAGCAUAAUUGGUAGGACCCGAAAGAUGGUGAACUACGCUUGAGUAGGGUGAAGUCAGGGGAAACUCUGAUGGAGGCUCGAAGCGUUUCUGACGUGCAAAUCGUUCGUCAAACUUGACUGUAGGGGCGAAAGACUAAUCCAACCAUCUAGUAGCUGGUUCCCCCCGAAGUUUCCCUCAGGAUAGCUGGUGCUCGCAGAGGAGACGAACGGAGUUUCAUCCGGUAAAGCGAAUGAUUAGAGGCCUUGGGGUCGAAACGACCUCAACCUAUUCUCAAACUUUCAAUGGGUGAGACGCCCGGCCUUUUGUUUUGACUAAGGCCGUCGGCAGUAGAAUCUGAGCGCCCAGUGGGCCAAUUUUGGUAAGCAGAACUGGCGAUGUGGGAUGAACCAAACGCGCGGUUAAGGCGCCCGAACGGACGCACAUUUCGGAUCCCACGAAAAGGAGUUGGUUGCUAAAGACAGCAGGACGGUGGCCAUGGAGGUCGGAAUCCGCUCAGGAGUGUGUAACAACUCACCUGCCGAAGCAACUAGCCCUUAAAAUGGGAGGCGCUAUAGCGUCCUGCCUAUACCGUGCCGUCGGUCGGCAGUGUUAACGGCAACGGGAUGUAGAGUCCCGUGCCGCUGAAGCCCCGACGAGUAGGGGGGUGCGCGACGGUGAGCGUAGAAGGGUUGCGGGCGUGAGCCUGCCCGGAGCCGCCGUCGGUGCAGAUCUUGGUGGUAGUAGCAAAUACUCCAGAGG